CACCUUGACAGCAUGUAAUACACUAAAAUUGGAAGAUUUAUAGAUAAGGUUAGCAUGGCCCCUGCCCAAGGAAGAUAAAUUCAUAAAGCAUUUACUGUUUUU